GGCUCAGGACGAACGCUGGCGGCGUGCCUAAUACAUGCAAGUCGAACGCUUCUUUCCUCCCGAGUGCUUGCACUCAAUUGGAAAGAGGAGUGGCGGACGGGUGAGUAACACGUGGGUAACCUACCCAUCAGAGGGGGAUAACACUUGGAAACAGGUGCUAAUACCGCAUAACAGUUUAUGCCGCAUGGCAUAAGAGUGAAAGGCGCUUUCGGGUGUCGCUGAUGGAUGGACCCGCGGUGCAUUAGCUAGUUGGUGAGGUAACGGCUCACCAAGGCCACGAUGCAUAGCCGACCUGAGAGGGUGAUCGGCCACACUGGGACUGAGACACGGCCCAGACCGGGAGGCAGCAGUAGGGAAUCUUCGGCAAUGGACGAAAGUCUGACCGAGCAACGCCGCGUGAGUGAAGAAGGUUUUCGGAUCGUAAAACUCUGUUGUUAGAGAAGAACAAGGACGUUAGUAACUGAACGUCCCCUGACGGUAUCUAACCAGAAAGCCACGGCUAACUACGUGCCAGCAGCCGCGGUAAUACGUAGGUGGCAAGCGUUGUCCGGAUUUAUUGGGCGUAAAGCGAGCGCAGGCGGUUUCUUAAGUCUGAUGUGAAAGCCCCCGGCUCAACCGGGGAGGGUCAUUGGAAACUGGGAGACUUGAGUGCAGAAGAGGAGAGUGGAAUUCCAUGUGUAGCGGUGAAAUGCGUAGAUAUAUGGAGGAACACCAGUGGCGAGCUCUCUGGUCUGUAACUGACGCUGAGGCUCGAAAGCGUGGGGAGCAAACAGGAUUAGAUACCCUGGUAGUCCACGCCGUAAACGAUGAGUGCUAAGUGUUGGAGGGUUUCCGCCCUUCAGUGCUGCAGCAAACGCAUUAAGCACUCCGCCUGGGGAGUACGACCGCAAGGUUGAAACUCAAAGGAAUUGACGGGGGCCCGCACAAGCGGUGGAGCAUGUGGUUUAAUUCGAAGCAACGCGAAGAACCUUACCAGGUCUUGACAUCCUUUGACCACUCUAGAGAUAGAGCUUUCCCUUCGGGGACAAAGUGACAGGUGGUGCAUGGUUGUCGUCAGCUCGUGUCGUGAGAUGUUGGGUUAAGUCCCGCAACGAGCGCAACCCUUAUUGUUAGUUGCCAUCAUUUAGUUGGGCACUCUAGCGAGACUGCCGGUGACAAACCGGAGGAAGGUGGGGAUGACGUCAAAUCAUCAUGCCCCUUAUGACCUGGGCUACACACGUGCUACAAUGGGAAGUACAACGAGUCGCUAGACCGCGAGGUCAUGCAAAUCUCUUAAAGCUUCUCUCAGUUCGGAUUGCAGGCUGCAACUCGCCUGAGCCGGAAUCGCUAGUAAUCGCGGAUCAGCACGCCGCGGUGAAUACGUUCCCGGGCCUUGUACACACCGCCCGUCACACCACGAGAGUUUGUAACACCCGAAGUCGACCUUUUUGGAGCCAGCCGCCUAAGGUGGGAUAGAUGAUUGGGGUGAAGUCGUAACAAC
rnacentral:rRNA from 1 species